GAUCCUGGCUCAGGAUGAACGCUAGCUACAGGCUUAACACAUGCAAGUCGAGGGGCAGCAUGAUUGAAGCUUGCUUCAAUUGAUGGCGACCGGCGCACGGGUGAGUAACACGUAUCCAACCUUCCGUACACUCAGGGAUAGCCUUUCGAAAGAAAGAUUAAUACCUGAUGGUAUCUUAAGCACACAUGUAAUUAAGAUUAAAGAUUUAUCGGUGUACGAUGGGGAUGUCGUU
rnacentral:rRNA from 1 species